UACGGAGGAUCCAAGCGUUAUCCGGAAUUACUGGGCGUAAAGAGUUGCGUAGGUGGCAGAGUAAGUAGGUAGUUAAAGCACAUGGCUCAACCAUGUAAUCAUUACCUAAACUGCUCAGCUAGAGGACGAGAUAGGUAGAUGGAAUUCUCAGUGUAGGAGUGAAAUCCGUAGAUAUUGAGAGGAACACCGAUGGCGUAAGCAGUCUACUGGCUUGUUCCUGACACUAAGGCACGAAAGCGUGGGGAGCGAACGGG
rnacentral:rRNA from 1 species